rnacentral:rRNA from 1 species
UGCAAGUCGAGCGGAUGAAGGGAGCUUGCUCCUGGAUCAGCGGCGGACGGGUGAGUAAUGCCUAGGAAUCUGCCUGGUAGUGGGGGAUAACGUCCGGAAACGGGCGCUAAUACCGCAUACGUCCUGAGGGAGAAAGUGGGGGAUCUUCGGACCUCACGCUAUCAGAUGAGCCUAGGUCGGAUUAGCUAGUUGGUGGGGUAAAGGCCUACCAAGGCGACGAUCCGUAACUGGUCUGAGAGGAUGAUCAGUCACACUGGAACUGAGACACGGUCCAGACUCCUACGGGAGGCAGCAGUGGGGAAUAUUGGACAAUGGGCGAAAGCCUGAUCCAGCCAUGCCGCGUGUGUGAAGAAGGUCUUCGGAUUGUAAAGCACUUUAAGUUGGGAGGAAGGGCAGUAAGUUAAUACCUUGCUGUUUGACGUACCAACAGAAUAAGCACCGG